rnacentral:rRNA from 1 species
AUGAACGCUAGCGACAGGCUUAACACAUGCAAGUCGAGGGGCAGCACAGGUAGCAAUACCGGGUGGCGACCGGCGCACGGGUGAGUAACGCGUAUGCAACUUGCCUAUCAGAGGGGGAUAACCCGGCGAAAGUCGGACUAAUACCGCAUGAAGCAGGGAUCCCGCAUGGGAAUAUUUGCUAAAGAUUCAUCGCUGAUAGAUAGGCAUGCGUUCCAUUAGGCAGUUGGCGGGGUAACGGCCCACCAAACCGACGAUGGAUAGGGGUUCUGAGAGGAAGGUCCCCCACAUUGGUACUGAGACACGGACCAAACUCCUACGGGAGGCAGCAGUGAGGAAUAUUGGUCAAUGGCCGAGAGGCUGAACCAGCCAAGUCGCGUGAGGGAUGAAGGUUCUAUGGAUCGUAAACCUCUUUUAUAAGGGAAUAAAGUGCGGGACGUGUCCCGUUUUGUAUGUACCUUAUGAAUAAGGAUCGGCUAACUCCGUGCCAGCAGCCGCGGUAAUACGGAGGAUCCGAGCGUUAUCCGGAUUUAUUGGGUUUAAAGGGUGCGUAGGCGGCCUUUUAAGUCAGCGGUGAAAGUCUGUGGCUCAACCAUAGAAUUGCCGUUGAAACUGGGGGGCUUGAGUAUGUUUGAGGCAGGCGGAAUGCGUGGUGUAGCGGUGAAAUGCAUAGAUAUCACGCAGAACCCCGAUUGCGAAGGCAGCCUGCCAAGCCAUUACUGACGCUGAUGCACGAAAGCGUGGGGAUCAAACAGGAUUAGAUACCCUGGUAGUCCACGCAGUAAACGAUGAUCACUAGCUGUUUGCGAUACACUGUAAGCGGCACAGCGAAAGCGUUAAGUGAUCCACCUGGGGAGUACGCCGGCAACGGUGAAACUCAAAGGAAUUGACGGGGGCCCGCACAAGCGGAGGAACAUGUGGUUUAAUUCGAUGAUACGCGAGGAACCUUACCCGGGUUUGAACGCAUUCGGACCGAGGUGGAAACACCUUUUCUAGCAAUAGCCGUUUGCGAGGUGCUGCAUGGUUGUCGUCAGCUCGUGCCGUGAGGUGUCGGCUUAAGUGCCAUAACGAGCGCAACCCUUGCCACUAGUUACUAACAGGUAAAGCUGAGGACUCUGGUGGGACUGCCAGCGUAAGCUGCGAGGAAGGCGGGGAUGACGUCAAAUCAGCACGGCCCUUACAUCCGGGGCGACACACGUGUUACAAUGGCGUGGACAAAGGGAAGCCACCUGGCGACAGGGAGCGAAUCCCCAAACCACGUCUCAGUUCGGAUCGGAGUCUGCAACCCGACUCCGUGAAGCUGGAUUCGCUAGUAAUCGCGCAUCAGCCAUGGCGCGGUGAAUACGUUCCCGGGCCUUGUACACACCGCCCGUCACACCAUGAGAGUCGGGAACACCCGAAGUCCGUAGCCUAACUAGCAAUAGGGGGCGCGGCCGAAGGUGGGUUCGAUAAUUGGGGUG